rnacentral:rRNA from 1 species
AGCUCCAAUAGCGUAUAUUAAAGUUGUUGCAGUUAAAACGCUCGUAGUCGGAUUUCGGGGCCUGCCUGCCGGUCUGCCGAUGGGUAUGCACUGGCAGGCGCGUCCUUCCUUCCGGAGACUGUCCCUACUCUUAGCUGAGCGGGGUCGGGAGACGGAUCGUUUACUUUGAAAAAAUCAGAGUGUUUCAAGCAGGCAGCUCGCUCUUGCAUGGAUUAGCAUGGGAUAAUGAAAUAGGACUUUGGUGCUAUUUUGUUGGUUUCGAACACCGAAGUAAUGAUUAACAGGGACAGUCAGGGGCACUCGUAUUCCGCCGAGAGAGGUGAAAUUCUCAGACCAGCGGAAGACGAACUACUGCGAAAGCAUUUGCCAGGGAUGUUUUCACUA